CCUGGCUUUGGGUUCCUGGUCUCCUUGACCUUCUCCCGUGCACUCGAUACCUCGAAGCUCUUCUUGCCUCCAUCCUUGGCUUGAUCGGUUGUCUCUGAGUUACGCACACCAAGUCUCACUUAAGCAAUGUCCAUCUUACUUGUGAUGUCCAUUAUCUAUAGAUAAUCCAGUCUUUGGACCAUCACACUUGUUCACUUGUGUUGAACCCUGUUAGCUUUGCAUUAAGCACCUGUUCAACACUUAGCACACUUGUUAGUCCUUUAAUUGGGUUGUCAUCCAAACCACCAAAACCCACAAGAGAGCUUUCAAUCUCCCCCUUUUUGGUGAUUGAUGGCAACACAAUUAAAGCUUACACAACAAUAAGAUUUAAAGCACAAAUUUUGAAUUCUAAGUUUAUAGAAUGCUCCCCCUAAAUAUGUGCUUACAUUAAAAUCUUAACUUUGGCCUUAAAUGCCAAAAUGCACAUACUUAGGCUAAUUCGAAGCAUUGCUACACCUUAGCACCUGUGGGAUGCAUUGUGUGAAGAAACAAACUGUGAUGCAUAUAACACACAAAUGCACAGAAUCAGAGUUAAACACCAAUUAAAUAAAUAUACCAUAGGAAUAUCAACCUACCACUAUUCACCAUUAAGAUACCGAUUUAAAGCGCCAGAACCACAUGAAUAUCUAUCACAGGAUAAACACAGUAGAUACCAAUUGAUUCAUAUCAAUGGACCACAUGAAUAUCUAUCACAGGAUAAACACAGUAGAUACCAAUUGAUUCAUAUCAAUGGAAGCACUAAUUUUGCAUUAUCACCAUAUAAUACAACAAGAAGCAUAUGAUAAGUAUUAUCAACAAACUAACACAUUUUUCUUUAAGAUCAAAGGAACUCAAGGAAACCCCCUUGAGUCCUUUAGCACAAAAAAUUAAUCUUCACCCUUAAGAUAAGCUUUCCUCUCAGGUCGAGGUAAGCUUUAAUGCACAAAUUCUCCCCCUUUGACAUCAAACACCAAAACCAUAUUCAAGCAAGAACAUAGGAUGAUGUCAAGGGACAGCAGGGUAUUAAGCAGGGAAAAUGCAACACUCUAACAUUACUCCCCCUUACACAUUAAACAUAUGCAACACAAGCAUUGGAGAAAAAUUAAGGUACAAAUACGCAAAAAGGUUAAUACCUCCUUUUGUACCUUUACCAUGUUAUGGUGUACUUUCCAUCUAAGUAGGCGGAGUUCCUUUUGUCAUCAAUUCAAGAUUUCCAUCUUGAAAGUUUUAUCUCUAGGGAGCUCCUUUACACUUAUGUCUGAUCCUUUAUCCUGACCUUUUCUUGUUGCUAAGAUACAAAACUUAGAACAAGUUAUAGUAUUGUGGCACAAGAUGAAGCUUCUAUUCUAGUGAUUACCAAAAGAUACCAAUUGAAGCACACUACCAAGGCUACCAAUUGAAAAAUCAUCACUGUCAUAGCUCCAUGAUAUUUAAAGAUAAGCAUCUAGGAUCACCAACUAUUAUAGAGCACGAGCAACCUUUAAAUACGUAAUUACUCACAACUUUAGAUACCAAUUACUCGACUUGUGGAGGUACCCAAGUCCUGAUCGCUCCAUUUCUUGCUCAUCUUCCCUUUUCCACCUUGAGACUAUAUAGGAUCACUCAAAAACAGUUAGUCUCAAAAGACACAAGUUAUGUGUGCUCCCCCUAAAGUUGUGCAUCAAGUAUUUGAAUGACUUGCACCUUGCACAUUCUAGCAUCCUCAGAAGUAAAGGGGAAACAUACCUUGGUCUAGGCAUAAUAUAUCAAUUGCAUCACAAAAAGAUACCAAUUGAAUAGAUGAGAUAAUACAACUUAUGACUAGUGGAAACAAUGCAUGCCUCAUGAUAUAUAACAUUUAAAAACACCAAGGCACGCUUCACACAUGAUGAUCAUUGCAACACAUAUACCAAUUGAAAAACGACAAGAUCAUACAUAUAAAGCACAAUGUCUAAGCACACCAUGAUUAAGAAGUAUUUUCUUAGGUACACCAAAGGAAACAACAUUUUAAAGCAUAAAGCACCUAAGCCAAGAUACUACCAAUUGAAAGGCAAGAACAUAGCUAUGAUCACAAUCAAUGGAACUUCAAGAUAUUCAAUGAAAUUGCAUAGUUCCAUUCUCCAUACCUUUGCCUUUUACCUGAAUGCCAUGAGAUUCAUUCUUUUAGGUAGUGUGUAGUGAGAGCACCUGUUGUCACCAAUUUAGGGCUCCUUUUGCUCAUGCACCUCAUAGCUCGAGAGGGUGCAUUAGAGACACAACAUGGAUUUCUUGUUUUGGUAUACACAGAGUACCAAGACAAAGUAAUCAUGUGAACAUGGACUAAACAAAACUAUCAUGCUUGCACAUAGGUUAAUCAUUAAAAAAACACAUAGCAUGACUUACAAAAAGAUACAUGUUUAUCCACAUACACUAAGAGAGUUAAUCAUGGUGGAUAUAUCAAAUGAAAAGCUACCCAUUGAAUGAUUCAAGAGAUAUUCCCUAUAAAGCAUACAGUUACGAUUAAGCAAGCAUGAUUAUGAUCUUGAAAAUCAUGGAUCAUUAAUUGAAAGAUAUUCAACACAAGCAGUCUCAAAAGCAUAACUACUCCAAGGAUAGGUAUAGCACGACAAUCCAACUUAAAAGCAAUGCUGAUUAGAAAUAAUGCACUUAAGAUACACGGGUACCGUCCUUUGGAGAGCAAGUUGCAGAUUCUCAUCACAGUCCUUCGCUUGAUUCACCAAUAAUGAUCAAGGACAUCUACAACUUAUUUAACUCGAGAUGAACAUGGGAUUAGUAUUGCACAAUAAUUCAACCUUGGGUCAAUAAAUAGACAUUAAAAUUGAUAGCUUAAGCAUAGAGUUUGAAUUAACCAUCUUAAGCUCUCCCAGGGUCUCCAGUCCAUCUCGAGGCACCUGCAUGGUCUAGUUGGCACGGUUUGGUACCCAUCUCGAGAUGGGUCCAUAACGUUCAUCUAAAAGGGCCUUCGGUACCCAAAUAGCAGUUGUGCUAGUUCUAGGUGAUCUCAUUACUGAUCUAGCACAAGUGUAUGAUUUGGGUCUCCUAAGCGAAUAAGAUUGAGAUAAAUUUACUUGUUUAGGAACCUUACCCUUCUUACAUACCUUAGGUAGAUGACCAUGCUCACCACACAUGUAGCAGAAGCGUCGCUCAACCUGACUUGACACUUGUUGUUUGUCUUUUUGCUUAGUGAGGGUCAUCUUGGAGGGUGCACGUCUUUGAUUCUUCAUGAGCGGACAUGAAGUGAUCAUAUGGUCCUUAUCGUUGCAUCCAAAGCAUCUCCUCAUUCCUUCAUCCUUGUCUUUGUGUGGACAAGACGCAAUGAAGUGACCUAAUUCCUUGCACUUGAAGCACCUCCUUUUUCCUCUUCCCUUUUUGCUCUUGGAUGACAUAGAGAGAUGAUCAGUGCAAACAACAUGACUAAUUGAAUUUUUACCUUUUUCCUUGUUCAUGUUGAUUUCUUCAUUUAUUGCUUUAGGAACAUCCUUCUUAUGGAGUUUAACACUUGCUGCGGUUUCUCCCGUCUCAAGCUUCUUCACCACGCGUCCGUGGAUAUCUUGAGGAGGUUGAGCAAUGCGUCUUCUCCUUAGUUGCUUUGCUUUCUUGUUCCUUUCUUUUGAUCCUGCAGCUUGAUGCUCAUUCAAAAAUUUGCUUUCUAUUGAGCAACAGGGGUUAGCACAUGGUGAUAUAUUAUCUAAAUGUGCACAUGUGCAAGAAUGAGGUUCACAUGAAUUUAAGUUUGAAAUUACAACCUCAUGAGCAACAUUAAGCAUGAUAUGGUCAUCAACUAAUUCAUUAUGAGAAUAAGAUAGCAUAUCAUAUUUUUCACUUAGAGCAAGUUUUUCUAAAUUUAUCAUUUCUACUUGACUCUUAAGCAUAGAAUUCUCAGUUUUAAGUUGAGCAACAUCAGAUAAUACAUCAUGAUUAUUUCUUUGCUCAAAUAAAAUAGAUUCAUACCGUUGGACCAAAUUAUCAUGAGAGCACUUUAGCUCCUCAUGUUCUUUGGUCAUCUUCUCUAGGCUGUUGUUGGUUUUGAUGAGAGUCUCCUCUAGCCUGAGAAGCGUCUCGCCUUGUUCCUUGUUCCUACUCAACAACUUAACCAAGAGCACUUUGUCUUCUUUGUUGAGAUUGGUGUAGAACCGGCGAAUCUCCUCUUCUUCCACAUCACCGGUCUCAUUUUCCCUGUCAUUAUUAUUAGUGGAAGCAAUACAGGAAAAUGUACCUUGUGGUGAUGAAGACUCAUCCUCGCUAUCAUCCUCAUAUUCCUCCUCAUCAUCGCUUUCGUCUCCACUAUCAUUGUUAGCAAUAAGACAUUUAUAACUAGUGGAAGACAAACCUGUCGGUGAGGUGGAUUCAUCGUUUGGUUGCCAUCGUUUUUCUUCUCCCUUUGAAAGGUUAGUACCACAAGCAACAUAGGGAGUAGAAGUAGUACAAUUGGCCACAAAAUAUUUUUCUUUAAUCCUAUUCCAUAAAUCAUGAGCAUCAACAAAUAAAUCAUUAUCACUACUCAUGAUGGCAAAAUAAGCACCUCUAGAAAGAGAUUCAACUAAGAUGUUGCAAGCACGGUGAUUGAGAGAUAAACAUCUUAGUUCAUCAUUAGAGGGAUUUUUACUAAUAUCAGAUGGAAAAAUACUUCUACUAAAGAUCUGUCUCAAAUCAGAAUCAACACUCAUGAAAGCAUUAUAAAUAGAGACAGACCAAGAUUUGUAAUUAGAGCCAUCGCCUAAAAGAAUUUCUACAGUUACCUCUUGUGACGACAUCGUUAUCUCCGGACGGCUAAGCCCACACUGGAGAGGCCUAGCUCUGAUACCAAUUGAAAGUUCCCUUUGCCCGGGAACAGGAUCUGGAUGUCGCCUAGAGGGGGGGGUGAAUAGGCGAAUAAAAAUUAUCACUUUAUAACUGGAAAUUCUUACUCUACUCGAAGGCUGGAUCACAGUGGAAUGAAGGACCCUUCGAGUAGGUUGCAGCGGAAUUGAAGUCCCUGUCUUAAAAUACCCUGCACUUCGAAGACAGCUUAUAGCACAUAUAAAUAUUGAAGUGCAAGUAUAAACAACAAAUAAGACAGAGAAACAGCACACAGCAUAGAGCAGAGCACACAGACACAGGGAUUUAUCCCGAGGUUCGGCCAAGCCUGAAAUGCUUGCCUAGUCCUCGUUGGAGUUAGCCACACCUUGGCUUGGAGUCUAUUUCAACUCCUUCCUCCGUUUGCUCAGAUCUGUCGGGCGACAGAUAGAGCCUUCCACUAUGUUGAUAUCAGUUACAACAAAGCCGCGGCUGCUUACAAUCUUCUUGACAGCACUCCGGUGGAGUAACAAUGCGCUCAAGACUUUGCUCUAGCUCUUUGCAGCACCUCUCCACUCUCUAAAGGCUUAUAACUUUGCCUUCACACAAACUAGAGAGAUUUACACAAGAGGGAGAGAGAGAAUCGAUCCGAGUGAUGUAUACAAUUGUUGGCUGCACUUGUGUUGUUGUUUGAGGCGCCUAGGGGUCCCUUUUAUAGCCCCAAAUGGCCUAGGAGCCGUUGGAGCUUCAUUUGGAAGCUCCCAGCCUUCCCUGGUUGCGGGUGCACCGGACUGUCCGGUGGCGCACCGGACAGUGAACAGUAACGGAUCUGAUUGGCAGUUUCCUUCUCUAGAACAGCUAGCCGUUGGUGCACCGGACAUGUUACUAUUCACUGUCCUGUGCACCGGACAGGUCACUAUUCACUGUCCUGUGCACCGGACACAGCUACUAUUCACUGUCCUGUGCACCGGACGCUGCUACUAUUCACUGUCCUGUGCACCGGACGCUGCGACUAUUCGCUGUCCUGUGCACCGGACACAGUUACUAUUCACUGUCCUGUGCACCGGACAGAGUUACUAUUCACUGUCCUGUGCACCGGACAGCUACUAUUCACUGUCCUGUGCACCAGCCAACAGCACACUAAGUGCUUUUUCCUCCGUUCUUUCUCCGUUUGACUUCAACUUUUGGGAGGAUUUUCCUGAGACUUAAACAAACACAUUUAGAGUAUAAUCCAAUUGAUUUAGUCCUAGAAACUUACAUCUUUUUUGUUCUUCUCCUAGCUUUUCUGUUUCUCCUCCAGCAGAGCUCAGAAUGGUACUUUCUCUACAGAAAGAGUUAGAGAGCAAACCAAAGCACCAAACUUGUAGUAAGAGGUGUAUGCAAAAUGGUUGAACACUCAAACCUUACAUACUUAACCUUUUUCAUCGUUUUACCCAAUUUGGCUUGUUUGAGGUCGAUGUUGGACUCUAAACCAUCAAGUCAACUUGACUUGAUCUAGAUUGACAUAUCUGAGCCCCAACCCCCGUUCACUUCUCGAGCUUGAUCUUGAGCCUUAUGUAGUGAUCCUUGAUGCACCAUAAGUCUUCUUAACUCGAUCAACCUUGACUUUGCAAGUCUUCUUCUUCACCCCUGGCUUUGGGUUCCUGGUCUCCUUGACCUUCUCCCGUGCACUCGAUACCUCGAAGCUCUUCUUGCCUCCAUCCUUGGCUUGAUCGGUUGUCUCUGAGUUACGCACACCAAGUCUCACUUAAGCAAUGUCCAUCUUACUUGUGAUGUCCAUUAUCUAUAGAUAAUCCAGUCUUUGGACCAUCACACUUGUUCACUUGUGUUGAACCCUGUUAGCUUUGCAUUAAGCACCUGUUCAACACUUAGCACACUUGUUAGUCCUUUAAUUGGGUUGUCAUCCAAACCACCAAAACCCACAAGAGAGCUUUCAAUAUGGCAUGCUACAUUUAUCAAUAAACUUCACUUCCUUCAGAUACAACACAAACCUCAAAUAAUACUUCAUUUACCUUCAGAUACAAUACCAACCUCAAAUAAUACUUCAUUUACCUUCAGGGGUGUGAAUUAAUCUCAUGAGUCAUACUCAAAUCAUAAUCAUCAUCAAUAUAUGAUUGAGCAUCAGUAUAAUGCAAGCAAGUAAAGCAUCACCAUAGAGUCCAAUUAUGAAAGAAUCUGAUACUUUCGAAUAUUAGAGUGUAGGCGAUAGAAAUAACAGGUCAGAACGGAAGCAACCACCGCUACAUUCACUUGCCUUCAUCGAAGAAGAAGAAAUGUACUAGACAUGAUCUGGAGUGUAGCCACCUGCUAGUGGGCAUAAAACUUAGUACAAAUAUUUCACAAACAUUUGCCAUCAAUCAACAAAACACUCCUACACUUGAAACCAAGACCCAGUGGAAAGACUCCCACCCUGAACCACAUGCCAUACAGCAGGAACGCUGUUUGUUAAUUUUGUAUCUUUAAAAUUAAAACAGCGGUGAUAUCAAACAAAUACUCUAGGAGUAUCUACACAAAAUACUCUACAACUUCAGUAUUCAAUAGAUAAUUAAAUUCUGCCAUCUACAAGUUCUAAAACAUCUGACAAGAUAACUGACUGAAUCUGUUUUAGACAGCAGUAUGGUUAACUUUAAAAUUCGAUAUCUCCAAAACUGCUAAACCAAAAAUUAUGAAAUUCUGCUGGAAGUAAGAACUUUUAUCCCUCUACAAAAGUCUCCAUAGUUGGAAGAGCCAAUUCGGCCAUUUACUAGAUGAAACCCACCAGUGAACAGACCCACUCAUUUUUGUCAGGUAAACAGGAACAGCCACAGUAAAACAAACAUAACUGGAGUUUCACAAAUCAUAUGAAUGCACUCUUUAACAAUCUGGAAAGCUUAUAAAAUUAUCUACAACUUCUUUUACCAACCCACAGUUUAAUUCUGUUGAUAAAAUUGCCUAAAUCUUAAGAGAACAGAUUCUACACAGAAUUAUGAGACUGAAAAACUGCUAUAGUAAAACUGCAAUAACUUUCUGGUCGGAUGUCCGAUUGAGGUGUUCUUCGCGGCCACGGAAAGAUCUACAAAUUAUCUACGACUCAUACAUAGACUUUUUAUUUUUUUGAGGCCACUAAGACCACGGAAAACUGGCAUGAACAGAAACUGUCGAAUCUGGCAUUCUGCAGAAAACUAAAUUCGAGAUCAAAACCAAACCCCACAUCAAAUCCAACCUCUAAUCCUUUAAUUCCCAUGAUCCACAACCUCCAAAAGCCUAUAAUUACAGGGAGGAACAAGGAUCUCAUCCAUACCUAGGGUUUCCCCAAGAAAUCUUCAAGAGGAGAUGGGGAAGAACAUCUUCUUGAUCCUCUCUUCCUCUUCAAUUCAACGUGCCCCUCCUUUUCUCGAUCCUUGCUGCGUAGGGGGAGAUCUUGGGGGAGGAAGCAAUGGAGGAUGGCUGCCAUAGGGGGAGGGGGCGUCCAGCCAAGGGGGAAAAAAGGGGGUGGCGGCCAAGAGGGGGGGUGAAGGGAAAAAAAGGGGUGGCCACCUAGGG
rnacentral:lncRNA from 1 species